CGGACCAAACUCCUACGGGAGGCAGCAGUGAGGAAUAUUGGUCAAUGGACGCAAGUCUGAACCAGCCAUGCCGCGUGCAGGAAGACGGCUCUAUGAGUUGUAAACUGCUUUUGUACUAGGGUAAACGCUUCUACGUGUAGGAGCCUGAAAGUAUAGUACGAAUAAGGAUCGGCUAACUCCGUGCCAGCAGCCGCGGUAAUACGGAGGAUCCAAGCGUUAUCCGGAUUUAUUGGGUUUAAAGGGUGCGUAGGCGGUUUGAUAAGUUAGAGGUGAAAUACCGGGGCUCAACUCCGGAACUGCCUCUAAUACUGUUGAACUAGAGAGUAGUUGCGGUAGGCGGAAUGUAUGGUGUAGCGGUGAAAUGCUUAGAGAUCAUACAGAACACCGAUUGCGAAGGCAGCUUACCAAACUAUAUCUGACGUUGAGGCACGAAAGCGUGGGGAGCAAACAGGAUUAGAUACCCUGGUAGUCCACGCAGUAAACGAUGAUAACUCGUUGUCGGCGAUACACAGUCGGUGACUAAGCGAAAGCGAUAAGUUAUCCACCUGGGGAGUACGUUCGCAAGAAUGAAACUCAAAGGAAUUGACGGGGGCCCGCACAAGCGGAGGAACAUGUGGUUUAAUUCGAUGAUACGCGAGGAACCUUACCCGGGCUUGAAAGUUAGUGACGAUUCUGGAAACAGGAUUUCCCUUCGGGGCACGAAACUAGGUGCUGCAUGGUUGUCGUCAGCUCGUGCCGUGAGGUGUCGGGUUAAGUCCCAUAACGAGCGCAACCCCUACCGUUAGUUGCCAUCAGGUCAAGCUGGGCACUCUGGCGGGACUGCCGGUGUAAGCCGAGAGGAAGGUGGGGAUGACGUCAAAUCAGCACGGCCCUUACGUCCGGGGCUACACACGUGUUACAAUGGUAGGUACAGAGGGCCGCUACCCCGUGAGGGGAUGCCAAUCUCGAAAGCCUAUCUCAGUUCGGAUCGGAGGCUGAAACCCGCCUCCGUGAAGUUGGAUUCGCUAGUAAUCGCGCAUCAGCCAUGGCGCGGUGAAUACGUUCCCGGGCC
rnacentral:rRNA from 1 species